UGAAAGGAGGAAGAAGAAUCUCAAGACUUGCUACGAUUUGAAACUCAAGAUCUUGAUGACCAAGUCUUGCAUGCCCAUAUACAAAAUGGAUACAUAUAUUUACAAAUGUCAAAGCAUGGUGUUGCUCCAUUCAGAGUGAGAUGGAAAGGAGGGGUUUAAGCGUGAAGUAGUGAAGGGAGAGAAGCCUUGUCCAAUGACGUGUCUGUGAAAUGAACAUUCCAACUGGAGCAACGCUGAAUUGCUUCUAUGAGAUCGACAACAUUAGGCUGCCUUGUAAUUCCCCCAUUCACCUCAAGAUCAUUUGUGUUGUGCAGAAAAAUGCCACAUGAGAAGUUUAUUUCUGGCAGGCAAGGAUGAGAGAUCCUAAAGAUUCUUACCAGAGGCAUUUCAAAUGCCAUAAAGUCUCCAAGAGGUUUCUUUGAAACAAACACCAUAAACAUAUUUGACAGGUAGAUGGUACCCUUGGCUUUUACUUUACCUCUAGAGACACGAACUCGCCAAGUUAGAAUACUACUAUGGAAUCAAAACCCGAACAAAAUUGCACUUUAGCGCUUCAAGCCUACAAGUAUAAUGCGAAGCUUAUAAUAACUCUUUCCUUUUCUAUUAUUGUUGUUGGCGCAUUGAUUGCCACUAGAAGUUCAAUGAGUUUGAAUUUUUGUUUUUUUUAGGACAUUACCAUUGGUUGGUUAUCCAUGUAAAAAAACAAAUGCCACAAAAAAGCAUUUGCAUGCCAAAAGCCAAAAUCGUAUUUGAAGUAUAGAAAAUUGAAUUUCUUGUCCACCAUAUUCAAGCUUUAUACAUAUUCAUUAUCGAAUAUGUGAUAGUACAAACUAGUGGUAAACAUCACAAUAGGAAGAGGUCACAAGCAAUCUUCAUAUACAACAUGCUAACAAGUUUAUAGUUGUUAGCUAACAAUUUAACCACUUGUUUGAAAAUUCCAGUCAAUUUCACCGAAUAGUAGGAGAAGGCCACUGUUCAGGUUUCUUUGUUUUACUUACUGCAACAAGUAAAAAUGAUACCAUAAUUGCUUAUCAAGUGAAAAUGACAAAAACUUGAUAUAAUAUGAAGUAACUCAACUCCCCAAAAUAAAUGUUUCAGAAACCAGCAUGAUUCUGCCACAUAAAAUGAAGGGGAAUGCAUCGCCUUCAUGUCACUUCUUGGCACUACCAAGCAUUUCCACACUUACCUAUAUAUCUCCAAUAUCUCCUCCAUGCUUGCCAAGCAUUUUGCACAUGCACCCCAUGAUUUUUCAUGCAUUUCUCAGGGUAAAACAUUUAAAGUAUUCAUCAGAGUUCUCCACAGAAUUUUUGGCACACAUCUAAAUGCUUUCAUUUUCAUAAAGGAUUCGCUUCUGCUCUUUCCUACAAUCACUUAGUGCAUAACAUCCGGAUCCUCCGUAGUAAUCAGAAACUCUUUUUGUCGAUGGCACUCACGCACAAGUUCCACCACAACUCAAAACUGUCACUGCAGUGUCAUUUAUGCUGCCACUCCCCAUACUCUCUCACCUUUCACUCAUUGGCGUCUAAAACUCUCACCCAAGAGACUCAUAAACAUGAUCAAUCAACAACAAAAUGUAGACCUAGCUUUACAAUUCUUUGACCAUGCUGCGAAAUAUCACCCCAAUUUCUUUCAUAAUCCUGAUACUUAUCAUAUGAUCAUAGAGAAAUUUGCCAUGGUUAGGGAUUUGAAUUCUAUGGAAAUUAUACUCAAAGCGUUAAAGGAUUCCAGAAUUUCAGUGGAAUAACAUUCAUAGAUGUUAUUCCAAACUAGGGCUUUGCAAACAAGCCCAAGUUGGCCCUUCAAUCCUUUCUCAGGAUAAAUAAGUUUGGGAUAAACAAGCCAGUUCUUUUAAUACUCUUUUGAAUGCAAUGAUUCAGACCAAAUGCUUGAUUUGGUUAAUUAUAUGUAUUGUAUAGGAAUUGCAGGAAAUUUGGGAUAUUUCCAAUUGUUUUUACCUGUAAUAUUCUAACUAAGGCCUUGCAUUAAAUGAACGAUUUGAAAUCAGCUUUCUAGGUUUUGAAGGAGAUGCCAAGCUAGGGUUUUUUUUCCAAUAGAGAGGGAGAGUGAGAGAGAAAGGAUUGAGAUGAGGAAGGGAAAAGGGGAGGGAUGGCGCCACUUUCUUUCUGGCAGCAUUUCAAUUUUGGUUUCCCUCUCUCCAUGAUUGUUGUGCUAAAUUACAUCAAAUAUGGGGAACUGUUGAUUUUAGAAAUUUGGUGAUUACUGUGUUAAAUUAUGUCAAACAUGUGAAUCCAUUGAUCUUAGGGUUUCCUUCUCUUUCUCUCUCUCGCUUCUAUAUUCCCUACUCCAAAAAUGUCUAAAGUGCCAUUCUCGUGAAUUAGAAAUUGAUUUGAAACUUUUUAAUGUCGAUUUCGGUAACAAUUUCAGCCGUAUAAAAAACCUCACACUAAAAGAUCUUUUUACUCCUGCAGGAGUACUCUUUCCAUGUAGUCCCCCAAGCAAAACUCACACUAGAUCCUAAAUUUUGGGAUGUUAUAUCUAGAACCUAGCAACAAACCUCAAACAAACAACAACUUGACUCUCACUUGCUAUGUGCUUUAAAAAAUGGCACAUCCAAUUUUUUUGAGCAAAUGCUCUAGAUAUUUAGAAACUCAAAAUCCAGAUUUUUUUUUCUUAAAAAAUAAUCAUCUAGUUAUAACUAGUUGGAUCCCGAAAUUUUAAAUAAAAAAAUUUAGGGGUUAGAAUUUUACCCAAAGGAGUAAAUGUGUAAUAAGUUCAUGAGGGGGCAUAGUAUAUGCGUGGGUUUUUUAUAGUAAGAAAUAUCCAAAAAGCUAUAAAAAAUCUCUAAAUAAUAUUUAUUUUGUUUUGAAUGUUGACAAGUACUCCUCAAGGACACAGUUACUAUGCGGGCAUGCCCACAUUAAUUGGACAGUAGGAUGUUUGGUAAAAAGAAUACCUGUAAAGGUCCACAAAGCUAAAACGUUUGGUCAAACAAGUUGUUUAAUCUCCACUGGCAAGGGAGUUAUGGCCUACAAUAAUGAAGUUUGAUGCCCCAAUUUCUAUGGAAUAAUUGGAGAUCAAUGAGGAGAGCUUGUGUGUAUCAGCCCCGAGUAUGUAAAAAGUGUUUCCCUUGGAUGAUUUCGAAAAGUUCCUCUCGUACCUUCCUGCUUCCCCCAUCAAAGUUUCCUUUAACAAUUCCAUUGGAUGUGGGCAACCAGUGAGAAGAUUUUGGUGGGUGGGCUGGAGUGGAAGAGGAUUGGGCAAGGAUCUGACAACUUGUUCCAAUUGCGUAGACAGGCCUAUCUUGAAACUGCAGAAUAUAGGCUAAAUUCCUCGAAAGGGAGGGCCUAAUAAGUAAUGGAGAUGUGACUGCUUAAGGUUGUUUUUCAAAGAUAGGCCCCAUUGAAAAUUUUGCUAUUUUCUUUGAGCCAUAUGGACGGACUCAUGUCUAGGAUUGUCAUCUUCCAGAGGAGUAGUCCCAUGGUUGGAAGAACAGGAGAGGCACAAUUGUUUAAGGCUAUCCACCGAAACAAAAGGUGAUCCAAUGCCAGCCCAAAUACUCAAGGCUGUCUUAUAGUGAAUAAGUAGAUUCCUGACUGUCUCCUGGCUCCUUGCACAUGGUGCAUCAAUUUGGUUGUGAAAGGCCUCUGUUUUGGACAUGAUCAAGUGUAAGGACCUUUUUCAAGACUGCAAGCAACUCAAAUGCAUCUACUUAUUCACUAUAACCCAAAUGCAAGCAACCUUGGAUAGUGCUGGAUGAAAUGGCCCCAAUGUUCAGCUAAAAAGGUCGUGAAUUCAAGAGCUUCCUCCUCGUUUUACCAUUUUCAUGACUGCAAACAACCCAAAUGCCUGGACCUUGGAUAGUGCUGGAUGAAAUGGCCCCUAUGUUCAGCUAAAAAGGCUGCGAAUUCAAGAGCUUCCUCCUCGUUUUAGUUUUGGUGAGAAGUUGCUCUCCGCACCUGUUAACCCCCAAAAGUUUCACAACACCAGCAAUAAUGCGUCUUAUUGUGACGCAAUUUGGAGCCAAAGAAAUCCUGAUUCCAAAGUGAGUUUCAUCCAGAAAUCUCUCCAUAAAGGAAUGUGAUCACCUGAUCUUGCUUCGAAGCGGAAAUGGAGAAUUCCUGGUGGGCUACUAAGAUGCCAACAUGAGCACUCCAUGUCAUAUUUAUGCUGAAUGACCUUUCGCCAAAAACGGGACCGUUUAAGAAUGCAGUCCCAUUUCACAGGAAGUUUCUCAUCAGGCCCUUGAGUUUGUUGAUUAUACUCAUAGGCAUUAUAAUUAUGGACAUGUGAAGAAUCAGAAUACUAUAUAUAGUGGCUUUGACCUAUAUAAUUUCAUAAUUCUUCUGCCCAUGGACAGCUGCACGAUUUCCAAAUGCUUUUCUUCUUUAAAACUUUUAUACAACUUCAUCCCUCUGUGCCUUUCUUGGUGUGUGUCGGCAUAGUGGAAGGCAUUGGUAUUUGUUAGGCAGGGCAUCUGUACCACACCCGUGCGGUGUGCAAAGGUUUCUAUUGCCCAAUAGAAAGAAAGAAUACUUGUGCUUUGCUUUUUAUUUUAUUUUUUUCUACUAUUAGCAGGAGACCUUAUUUGGGAUCUGAGAAUAGCUGCUGCAACUUAUCUAAAGAACUUUCUCAAAGCCAAUGAAGAAGGUCCUUCUUUUUCCUAAGUCUGUCAAUACGUCAGAAAUUCCCUUGUGCAGGUCUUCCUUCAAGUAGAACCAAGGGUAGUAGAAGCGGUAAAUAUUUUCCUGAAUAGGAUGAUCACAUGUAACAUAUUUGAUUCCAUCACAGUAAGUAAAGUUCAGCACAUUGAAUUUAGACUAGCAAUAGCUUUAGGUCUAAAAAAUAAACAUGUUUUGUGUACAAUUAUCCUUAUUUAGUUUUAUGAUGGCUUUAUCUCUCAAUAAAUUUUGAAUAUGUCAACCCUUCUUCAUGAACUCUUGAAGGGUGAGCUAAUUAUAUGUAGAACCCUUUUUGCUGAUUUGCAAUAUGAUUAUAUUAUGAAAGAAAGUGGUACUUGAGCAUUUCUCAUGGUCUACUUUGAAAUCCUUCUUUUUUUAAUCAUCUCAUGCAUAAUAGGUAUCCUUCCAAUUUCCACUAGUUCAAGAAAAUGUUUAUAUAGGUGUAUCCUUUUCAUUCUACUGCUAUUGCUACAUUUCUUUCUAUAGCUUUUGAAUUUAUACUCUAUCUUAUGGCUCAUCUGUGUGAUUCAUCACAUAGGAAUAUUUGUUGAGGUGUGUUUCAACUUGGAACCUAAUGCAUAUGGGAAUUGGGUUCCUCACUUCACUAAUAAGGAUUAACAUGUCACUUCAUGUGAAUUGUUGUUUUACGUAAACUUGACAUCACUUUAAGAUGAAUCGUCUCGAGGCACCUUCUAAAUCAUUUUUAGCAGCCUUUGUACUUGCAUCACAUAGAACUCACAUGACAUGAAAAUUCUGCUAGCUCCCCAAAACAAAGGAACACAGUAAUUAGGUCUGAAUUGUUUUAGUAUUCAUGCAGGUUGAACUGGACAAGAUAUUGUGUAUCAUUUUUGUCCACGACGCCCUUUUGUAGGGAUUGUACUUUCUGUUCAAAUUUAGUUAUCUCAUGCACUAUUUGUGAAAUUUAUUUAUGUUUGGAGCUCAAUUUUACCGAACUUGUACCUGAAUUGGGGUAUGUUAUCCAAACCGGCAAUCUUUUCGAGAGAGGUGGAAGACCCUAAACAGCCUCACUAUUCUUCAAGCCACUGUCAAGCCAUUCCAGAAUGUCUUCUGAAUUAGGGAAUGGGAGGAAGGGGUUGUGGUCAAGAGUCAAGAGGAAGGUAGAUAGUGAUAGUGGAGUUGACUGCAUGGUUGCUUUAAAAAUUUCAAGCCUGUUCAUGGAAUGAGGUAUUGCUUGCUUGGGUCACCAUGAUAUAAUAUUCAUUUGGUGAGAUCUGAAAUAAGUGGACUGUAAGGAGCCGCCGUGUGUAAGGAAGCCGUCGUGCGUGAGGAAGCGGUCGUGCCUGAGGAAGCUGCCGUGCGCGAGGGAAGCCGCCAUGCGUGAUGGAAGCCGUCGUGCGUGAGGAAGCCGCCGUGCGUGAGGGAUGCCGCCGUGCGCGCAUGGGGAUGCUGUCAUGCGCAUCAUCGCCGUGCGCGUCACCGUCGUGCGCGUUGCUGCAGAGAGUGAAUGUAUAGGGCCGUCCAGGGAAUAUUGGACCUUUUGAAAUUGUGGAGAGAGUUGGAAGCGUGGCAUAUCGAUUUGCCCUACCACCCAAGCUGGCAAAUAUCCACAAUGUCUUUUAUAUAUCUCUGUUAAGGAAGUACCAGCCCGACCCGUCCCACAUUCUGAAGUAUGAACUGAUUCCUAUCAGAGAAGACCUAACCUUCAUCGAGCAGCCAGUUGGGAUACUAGACAGAAGGGUGCAGGUAUUGCGUAAUAAGGAGAUCCCUCUAGUCCGUGUGUUAUGGCAAUACCAUUCAUGAGAAGAGUCGACCAUGGAAUGGGAAGAUGAGAUCCGGGAUAAGUACCCCCAAUUGUUCGAUUAGCAAAAGUAUGAUUUUAAGGACAAAAUCCUUUUAAGGGGGGUUGAUGUAAGGAGCCGUCGUGCAUGAGGAAGCCAUUGUGCAUGCAUGGGGAUGUUGUCGUGUGUGUCACCGUCGUGCGCAACACCGCCGUGCUCAUCACCGUCAUGCGCGACACCGUCGUGCGCAUCACCGCCGUACGUGACACCGCCAUGCGCAUCACCGCCGUGCGUUUCACUGCCGUGCGCGUCACCGCCGUGUGUGUCACUGUCGUGCUCGUCACCGCCGUGUGCGUUGCUGUCGAGAGUGAAUGUAUAGAGCCGUCCAGGGAACUUCUAUGAGUGUCAUGUGGCACUUGUCUGUCACAUGUCUACCACAUGUCUACCACUGUUGCCACUUGUGUGCCCUUGCACCCUUGCAUGCCACCUGCCUGCUGCCUCCCACUCUUUGCUUAUAGACUUAGAACCUCAAGCUUGAAAUCAUCUUUGGAAGCAUGGCCUGUGUGGGGGAAACUUGGAGUCUUUUGGUGCAUAGUGAUAGCUCGCGGGUUAAGACCAGACGGUUGGGUGAUCGCGACUGGCGAUUGAAGACCCGAACUUGACGAGAAGCUCCCUUUUGAUUGUAGGUUUUAGUUGGCAGGUGGCCACAUAGUUGUUUUGUUGUGAAGCUAUGUAUUUUGUUGGGCCUUUAGUACCUUGGACAUAUCUGUAAUAACUUUGGAGCUCUUACGUAUAAAUUUGGUUUUAGUUCGUUCA